AACAACUCACCUGCCGAAUGAAUUAGCCCUGAAAAUGGAUGGCGCUGAAGCGGGCAGCCGACACCGCGCCGUUCCGGCGAGACGAUGCCGGGAUGAGUAGGAGGGCGUGGCGGUCAGUGACGCAGGCGAGGGUGCAGACCCCGCUGAAACGGCCGCUAGUGCAGAUCUUGGUGGUAGUAGCAAAUAUUCAAGCGAGAUCCUUGAAGGGCGAAGCGGGGAAGGGUUCCACGCAAACAUUGAUUGGGCGUGGGUGAGUCGUUCCUAAGCCGAGUGGCAAUUGCUAAGUAGCGGCGAAAGGGAAGCGGGUUAAAAUUCCCGCACACGGAUAUGGAGGCGGCGACGCAAGCAGAGGCAAAUACGCUGGCGAGGGCGCUGGGCAGAGUUUUCUUUUCUGUUUGACCGGCAUCGCGCUGUGUGGAAUCCGCUUAUCGGGAGAAACACGCGCGGGGAGGGGCAGAGCGUCAGGUCUUUUCUGGCGUCCGGCUCGCCCUCGACGGCCCUUGAAAAUUUGCCCGCGAACACUAAAUUUCAUGCUGUGACGUACCGAUAACCGCAUCAGGUCCCCAAGGUGAACAGCCUCUGCUCAAUAUGAACAAU
rnacentral:rRNA from 2 species